CCCUUAUAAAAGCGCUCCGCACCCUCCAGUAGUCCUCACUCCUCGCCUGUCCACUUGGCCUUUCGACUGGAUGGCUGUACAAAUAAAAGUGGACCUUAGAUGGUCUCGGGAUGUCCAGAGACAUGAAGCGACCGGAGCGGAAAGAGGUGUGCUUACAUUGGAAGAAUUAACCUUUCGGUGACAUCAGAACAGGUCCUUUAUUCUUGGAUCUAGUUAACGGUGUUAGCUCAGUUACAGAAAUGAGACUGGCGGUACAAAAGGCUGUGUGAAGACAUGUGAAACCUUGCUGCAGAGACUGUUCACAGCCAGCUUUGUGUUGAUUGUGGCUGUCAUGGGAGCAGGGUUAUGAUUGUUUUGGAGGUGGGUUUCCUCAAAGAUGAGGAAGAGUUGGCUCUGCAGACUGACUGAAUGCAGCAGUGAAGCCUGUGGCCCAACAGAGUGACCCUACGUGCAAGUUUUUGCUCUAAAUGUUGAUGGUGCCAGGAGCCAAUGGACAACAUGUGAAUAUACACUCACCGGCCACUUUAUUAGGUACACCUGUCCAACUGCUCGUAGCACUUAAUUUCUAAGCAGCAAUCACAUGGCGGCAACUCAGUGCAUGUAGACAUGGUCAAGAGAAUCUCCUGCAGUUCAAACGAGCAUCAGUAUGGGGAAGAAAGGUGAUUUGAGUGACUUUGAACGUGGCGAUGUUGGUGCCAGAAGGGCUGGUCUGAGUAUUUCAGAAACUGCUAAUCUAC